rnacentral:rRNA from 1 species
AUUGAACGCUGGCGGCAGGCUUAACACAUGCAAGUCGUGCGAGCGGCGGCCGGGUGGGUAAUGUUUGGGAACUUGCCUGUUGGAGGGGGUAAACUCCUGAAACCGGAGCCUAAUACCGCUUACCAUCGGAGUGACCCAGAUGGGAUUAGCUAGUAGGUGGGGUAAUGGCUCACCUAGGCGACGAUCCCUAGCUGGUCUGAGAGGAUGACCAGCCACACUGGAACGGAGACACGGUCCAGACUCCUACGGGAGGCAGCAGUGGGGAAUAUUGCACAAUGGGCGCAAGCCUGAUGCAGCCAUGCCGCGUGUGUGAAGAAGGCCUUCGGGUUGUAAAGCACUUUCAGCGAGGAGGCGUUACUCGCAGAAGAAGCACCGGCUAACUCCGUGCCAGCAGCCGCGGUAAUAC